rnacentral:rRNA from 1 species
UACGUAGGGCGCAAGCGUUGUCCGGAAUUAUUGGGCGUAAAGAGCUCGUAGGCGGUCUGUUGCGUCUGCCGUGAAAACCCGAGGCUUAACCUCGGGCCUGCGGUGGAUACGGGCAGACUAGAGGUAGGUAGGGGAGAACGGAAUUCCCGGUGUAGCGGUGAAAUGCGCAGAUAUCGGGAGGAACACCGGUGGCGAAGGCGGUUCUCUGGGCCUUACCUGACGCUGAGGAGCGAAAGCGUGGGGGAGCGAACAGG